rnacentral:rRNA from 1 species
AAUGCGUAGAGAUUGGGAGGAACACCAGUGGCGAAGGCGACUUACUGGACUGUAACUGACGCUGAGGCGCGAAAGUGUGGGGAGCAAACAGGAUUAGAUACCCUGGUAGUCCACACUGUAAACGAUGAAUGCUAGGUGUAGGGGGUAUCGACCCCUUCUGUGCCGCAGUUAACACAAUAAGCAUUCCGCCUGGGGAGUACGGCCGCAAGGUUGAAACUCAAAGGAAUUGACGGGGGCCCGCACAAGCAGCGGAGCAUGUGGUUUAAUUCGACGCAACGCGAAGAACCUUACCAGGUCUUGACAUCCACUUAAAGCCAUAGAGAUAUGGUGUGAGCUUGCUCGAAGUGAGACAGGUGGUGCAUGGUUGUCGUCAGCUCGUGUCGUGAGAUGUUGGGUUAAGUCCCGCAACGAGCGCAACCCUUAUUUUCAGUUACUAACACGCGAUGGUGAGGACUCUGAAGAGACUGCCGGGGACAACUCGGAGGAAGGUGGGGACGACGUCAAAUCAUCAUGCCCCUUAUGACCUGGGCUACACACGUGCUACGGGUG